GUGACAUACCUAUAACUGUUGCUUCGGCGGGUAGGGUCUCCGUGACCCUCCCGGCCUCCCGCCCCCGGGCGGGUCGGCGCCCGCCGGAGGAUAACCAAACUCUGAUUUAACGACGUUUCUUCUGAGUGGUACAAGCAAAUAAUCAAAACUUUUAACAACGGAUCUCUUGGUUCUGGCAUCGAUGAAGAACGCAGCGAAAUGCGAUAAGUAAUGUGAAUUGCAGAAUUCAGUGAAUCAUCGAAUCUUUGAACGCACAUUGCGCCCGCCAGCAUUCUGGCGGGCAUGCCUGUUCGAGCGUCAUUUCAACCCUCAAGCUCUGCUUGGUGUUGGGGCCCUACAGCUGAUGUAGGCCCUCAAAGGUAGUGGCGGACCCUCCCGGAGCCUCCUUUGCGUAGUAACUUUACGUCUCGCACUGGGAUCCGGAGGGACUCUUGCCGUAAAACCCCCAAUUUUCCAAAGGUUGACCUCGGAUCAGGUAGGAAUACCCGCUGAACUUAAGCAUAUCA
rnacentral:rRNA from 1 species